UACGGAGGGUGCGAGCGUUGUCCGGAAUCACUGGGCGUAAAGGGCGCGUAGGCGGCGCGGGGAGUCAACGGUGAAAGCUCGGCGCUCAACGCCGAGUCGGCCGUCGAUACUCCCGUGCUCGAGCACUGUAGAGGCAGGUGGAAUUCCGGGUGUAGGCGGUGGAAUGGCGUAGAGAUCCGGAAGAACACCGGUGGCGAAGGCGGCCUGACUGG
rnacentral:rRNA from 1 species